UAGGGAAUCUUCCACAAUGGACGCAAGUCUGAUGGAGCAACGCCGCGUGAGUGAAGAAGGUUUUCGGACCGUAAAGCUCUGUUGUUGGUAAAGAAGGAUAGAGGUAGUAACUGGCCUUUAUUUGACGGUAAUCAACCAGAAAGUCACGGCUAACUACGUGCCAGCAGCCGCGGUAAUACGUAGGUGGCAAGCGUUGUCCGGAUUUAUUGGGCGUAAAGCGAGCGCAGGCGGAAGAAUAAGUCUGAUGUGAAAGCCCUCGGCUUAACCGAGGAAUUGCAUCGGAAACUGUUUUCUUGAGUGCAGAAGAGGAGAGUAGAACUCCAUGUGUAGCGGUGGAAUGCGUAGAUAUAUGGAAGAAUACCAGUGGCGAAGGCGGCUCUCUGGUCUGCAACUGACGCUGAGGCUCGAAAGCAUGGGUAGCGAACAGGAUUAGAUACCCUGGCAGUCCAUGCCGUAAACGAUGAGUGCUAAGUGUUGGGAGGCUUCCGCCUCUCAGUGCUGCAGCUAACGCAUUAAGCACUCCGCCUGGGGGAGUACGACCGCAAGGUUGAAACUCAAAGUGAAUUGAC
rnacentral:rRNA from 1 species